rnacentral:tRNA from 1 species
UCCCAAGUGGUCCAGUGGCUAAGACUCUGCACUCCCAAUGCAGGGGGCCCGGGUUUGAUCCCUGGUCAGGGAA